rnacentral:rRNA from 1 species
CAGCCGCCGCGGGAAUACGAAGGGGGCUAGCGUUGCUCGGAAUGACUGGGCGUAAAGGGCGCGUAGGCGGCGAUCAAAGUCAGGCGUGAAAUUCCUGGGCUCAACAUGGGGGUUGCGCUUGAUACUUGGUUGCUUGAGUGGGGAAGAGGGUCGUGGAAUUCCCAGUGUAGAGGUGAAAUUCGUAGAUAUUGGGAAGAACACCGGUGGCGAAGGCGGCGACCUGGUCCUUGACUGACGCUGAGGCGCGAAAGCGUGGGGAGCAAACAGGAUUAGAUACCCCGGUAGUCCCUGUCUCUUAUAC